rnacentral:lncRNA from 1 species
CUUGCUAGAACGCACAGUAAAGAGCACGACAAACUGCUAAGUAGAAGAGAGAAGAUUUUGGAAGCAGGAGGGCUCUGGGCACUGGAGGAGAAGGAGGGAUAUCUCCAAGUCGGGAGGGAGCAGAGAAAGGGGAAUUUCCAGACAUAAGCUAAGUUUUCCACUUGACAGUUUCGCCUUGGGCCUAUCCUGUUUGUCUUUAUCUGGACUCAGAUAACUAGUAGCUGAGGCCAAAAGAUUUGUCCUUUGUUUUGCAUGACAGAGCACAGUCCAGCCCAAGGGAGAAUUAUCUUAGAGUCUACCACAGAAAAACGGGAGGAAGAGAGAAGACAUACUUCUGUGGAGAUGUUUUCUUCCAAAAUUCUUCUUCUGCAUGAUCUUUGUUUCCCAAAUACAGUUCUGAGAUGUUUAUGAGUUCCUUUAAAAUGUUUCCUCCUUCUACUAUCUCUUUUUCCUUCUUUCCUGCCCUAAGCAUUCUUAUCUUUAUUGAUUUUGGACUUCAACCACCCUGCAUUUUGUGGGAAAUGGAGAGAGUUUUAAGAGUGAGUUAAUAAAUUUAGUGCUAGGACAGAGGAAAGACACUCGACAGAGGGUUAUGGCCAACCUAUUUGCCUAAAGUCUCAAUUCACCGUGCUAGGGAUUUGGUUUAAGUUGUGGAUAAAGAUGUUUAAAGAUUCUAGGAAAGCAUAUGCAGAUGCUGAUCACAGGAAUGUAGACACUCAAAAGAAAGGUUUUAUUUAGUCAUUCAAUGAAUAUUUAUUGUGCAAUAAAUACUGCUAGCUGCUGGUGAUAUAGUAGUACAAAGGAAAAACAGAUACUGUUCCUGGUCUCACAAGGCUUUAAUUUCAUGUGGGGAGGAGAAAAAACAAACAAAUAAGUAAUAUAAUAAUAUGUUAUGUGCCAGGUGAUAUUUAGCACUAUCAAGAAAAACAAAGCAGGUUGAUGGAUUAGAUAGUGACUGCCAAGGAAGGAGAGGGUGUAGCCAAUUUUAAGAAGUUUUCUUCUGAAGGUGACAUUUGGAAAGGGACCUUAAUGAAGUAGGGAGCCAACCACUCUGAUAUUUAGAGGAAUGCAUUUUCAGGCAGAGAGACCAGCAAGUACAAAGGCCAUGAGGAGAGAGCAUGCCUGGCAUAUUCAAAGAGAGCAAGGAGUCUAUGGGGCUGGAGCAGAGUGACCAAAGAGGAGGGUGGUGUCUCAGUUAGUUGGCAAUAAUCAAGUCAAGGUAGAGCCUUAGAAACCACUGGAAGGACUUUUUUUUUCCUGAGUGAUAUAGAAUGGCAUGGAGUUUGUUGAGCAGAGCAGUAAAAUAAUCUCAUCUAUGUUCUAACCAAGUCAACUUGGCUGCUAUGUUGAGAAUACAUUAACGAGAAGAAUCUAGAAGUCAGAAGGACAUUGAGAUGGUAGCAGAACGGGAACAGAUAUCUUAGAAGCUGAGAAUAUAAAAUGUUUUAGGAAGGGAGUGGUGGUCAACCAUAUUAAAUGCUGCUAUGUUGGCAAGUAUGUUUGUCCAUUGGAUUGGGUAAUGGAAAGACAGGGUUGACCAGAGCAGUUUCCGUGGAGCUGGGAGUUGAAAGACUGACUGAAGUGCUUUCAGGAGAGUGAAGGAAUUGGAGACAUAAAUAAAAUAUAGACAAAGUUUUUGUCAGUUUUGUGUAAAAGAGACUGGAAAUGAGAAAGUGAAAGGAGAAAUAGAGGAUGGGAAUGUGUAAAGGGAAUGUGAAAUCAAAGAAAGUUUGUUUGGAUUUGUUUGUUUUAAGAUGGGAGCUUACAGCAUCCUUGUGUAGUGAUUAUCUAGUAGAUAAGGGAUGUGGUGAUUCAAGAGAGAUUGGGGACAUUUAUGGAAACAAAGCCCUUGAAUAAGACACGCAGGAAUGGGGGCCAGUGGAUAGACCCUGUAAAGGUUGUGUGGAGGAGGUGAUUUUAUUUUUUUCAGCUUUAUUGGGAUACAACUGACAAAUACAAAUUGCAUAUAUUUAAGGUAUACAACUUGAUGCUUUGAUAUACAUAUAUAUUGUAAAAUGAUCAUUGCAAUCAAGCUAGUUAACAUAACUAUCACCACAUAUAGUUACCAUUUUCUUUGUGUGUGUGGUGAGAACCCUGAAGAACCAUCAUCUUAGCAAAUUUCAAGUAUACAUUACAGUGUUGUUAUCCAUAGUCACCAUACUGUACAUUAGAUCUCGAGAACUUAAUCAUCUUAUAUAACUGAAACUUUGCACCCUUUGAUCAGCAUCUUCCCAUUUCCCCCAACUCUUGGCAACCACCAUUCUAUGUGCUUCUAUGAUUUCAACUAUUUUAGAUUCCACAUGUACCUGAGAUCAUGGACUAUUUGUCUGUCUGUGUCUGGCUUAUUUCACUUAGCAUAAUGUCCUCCAGUUUCAUCCAUGCUGUCACAAAUGCUAAGAUUUCCUUCCUUUUUAUGGCUGAAUGAUAUAUCUAUUUUCUUUAUCCAUUCAUUUCCAUAUCUUGGCUAUUGUAAAUAAUGCUGCAUUGAACAUAUGAAUGCAGAUAUCUCUUGGGGAUAACUUAUUUUAUUUCCUUUGGAUAUAACCCCACAAGUGGUAUUGCUUAAUCAUAUGGUAAUUUUAUUUCUAAUAUUUUGAGGACCCUCCAUACUGUUUUCUAAAAUGGCUAUACCAAUUUCUAUUCCCACUAACAGUGUUCAAGUGUUCGCUUUUCUCUACACCCUCUCCAACACUUGUUAUCUCUUGUCUUUUUGAUAAUAGCCAUUCUAACAGGCGUGAGGUGAUGGUUUGACUUUUGAUGUGAGUACAUCCACUGCAACAGGAAGAAAUGCAAAGUAGUGGUAGAGAUAAAGUGAAGUAUACAUCGGGUGGUGGGAACAUGUAGAUACUAUUUUCUGAUAGCUACUAUUUUAGCAAUGAAAUAUGAAGUAAGAGCAUCAGCUGAAGUAAAGAAGAGCAGAGAGUAUGUUAGAGAUUCUGAGGAGAAAGGAUAAACGAUGAAAUAGUCAUUUUGGAGAGUGUGGAGGUAAAUUGGGACAUGUAAUAGGAUUGCUAGGAGCAACAUGGGUCGACUGUAGGUGAUGGUCAUACGUUUUAAGUGGCACAAGUCAGUACAGUCAUAUGUUCUGCUAAGUCAUGCCCAGCUUCUCAGAGUCAAGCACAGAAUAGGCAAAAGUUUGAUUCAACUGGGGUGAAGUUUUGUCAGGCAACUAUACAACGAAGGAAGAGAGACAGCAAUGUCAUCGAGCUAUUGUGUGAGGAGUGGUUAUGAUGAUGGAUCAUAUACUGGGUAAGGAGAGAAGUGAGGAUGUAAAAGGAUAAAAGACAAGCAAAAGUUGAUAGGAUAAAUCUCCCCAUGGAAUUGAAGAAUCUUUGGAUGGCAUAUAAAGGAGAUUUACUGAAAAUCAAUAGAAAGAGGUGAUCACAAAGUGGGAUAUUUCAUAUGGAGAUUGCUGAGAUCUGUAGUUGGUGGCAACAACAAGAUGUAGGAUAUGACCUGGGAGCAGGUGGCUGAGGGAGGUGAGGACAAGAUCAUUGGACAUGAGAAGGUCAAGGCACUGAGAGCCAGGAUAUUGAAAGCAUUCUCCACAAUGUGAGUUACAUGGACAUCAAAAUCACCAAAGAUGAUUGGAGAGUGGUAGUGGAGAGUCAGUCAGCUACUUGCUGAAUUUUCCCUGAAUGAGGAGGGAUGACCUCAGUGUCUGCACAUGACUGGAACAAAGGAGGAGGGCUAUGAUUGGAAGUUGCCAUAGGCAUGAACUUCAAAGGGGCUGGGAUUUUCUUUUUAAAGGAAGAAGUUAGUACUGGUUUGGAAGGACCAACAAGAAGCAAAGGGGAACAUCUAUCAUGCCCUCCAUAUUUAUGGGAUGCAACGGAAAAAAUAUCACCUUUUUGGAGGCUACAGGGGAUGCAGUAUCCACAAGGGCGACCAGGUUUUAGUUAGAGCAGGAAAGUGAAAUAAACAUUUAAAGAAGAAUUUGAGAAUUCCAGAGAUUAAGUUGGUGAGUUAUCAGGGAUUCCAGAGGGCACAUUGGAAGGAUUUGAGGGAGAAGGGAGGAAUGGAAGAUUGCUCCAGAUUAGAGGAUGUUAAAAUUGACAUGGGGAUGAGAGUUCAAGUAAUGAGAUGACUUAUGGUUCCUGGGGGUGACUGAAGUAAAUAGGAAUGUAGGGCAUGAUGGGAUUAGUCCAGAAACAAGAUUUUGUUGUCUGCAGAAAGGAUUACUCAACCUCCUAAUCAUUUCAGGAAGUAUCCAAGAAGUCAGGAAAGGUGAGAAGAGGGAUUUGAGUUUGUAAUAGAAAUGCCAAACCAGAAAGGUUUAGAUUUACUCAACAUGCCUGACUACUUAACAGAAGCCUGCAUUUUCAGUACUAUAAUUUACUAGUAGACCCCCUGUAGUGAAUGGUCAAAAAAACCUGCACCAGAAUUUUGAUGACUAUCACAUUACCAGCAAUUAUUGAGUACUCAUUUUGGAUACUUACCGUGCUAUGCUAUUUAUUUGCAUUAUUUCAUGUAAUUUUAUAAACAACACUGUAAAUAGGUCUAAUCAUUUCCAUUUCACAGUUAAAAAACACACACACAAAAAUGAGGGUCAGCUUGGGGCUGGCCCCGUGGCCGAGUGGUUAAGUUCGCGCGCUCCGCUGUAGGCGGCCCAGUGUUUCGUUGGUUCGAAUCCUGGGCGCGGACAUGGCACUGCUCAUCAGACCACGCUGAGGCAGCGUCCCACAUGCCACAACUAGAAGAACCCACAAUGAAGAAUACACAACUAUGUACCGGGGGGCGUUGGGGAGAAAAAGGAAAAAAUAAAAUUAAAAAAAAAAAAAAAAUGAGGGUCAGCAAAGAUUUGAACUUAGAGCUUCUGACUCCAAAGUUAAUGUUGAAGGAUAGUGAGGGCGUGGAGCUUUGGAAGAUAGAACUGUAAAGGAGAAGUGAAAUUCUGGUUCUAGGAGUGAUUCAGCUCCACAAACAUCAAGGGUCCAUAUUUCCGCAUUGCACUCAGCCCUGGGAUAAGAGAGAUUAAUAAAACAUGAUCUUUGCCCUAGAGGAGCUUGAAAUCUACUAGACAGAACUUGUAAACCAAAAUUAUAGUCCAUUAUGACAAGUGCAAAGAUAAAAAGGCCUGUGUCCAGAUAGAGGCAGUACAGAGGAAGAAGUGACUAACCAGAUAUCAGGAUGGUUUUAAGGGACCAAUCAGAGUUUCCCAGGCAGACAAAGGAUGUAGCACGCUCUAGAAGGGGCCAAUGUAAUUAAAGAACAGGUGGAUUGGUUACAUUUGAAUUUGAAGAGGGACCCAACAUUUUAUAAGAUUGUAGGGAAAAAUAUAAGGAUUAGUGAACAUAUAGUCACAUGUAAAAUGGGGUGGGGCCAAUGACAACAUUAGCUUAAAAAAGACUAUCCUUUGGAUUUAUGUAAGUUGUAUAGUUUUUCUCAAAAAAGCAGACAGCCUGAUGAGAAAAAAAAUUUUAAAUUUCUGGCCAGAGCUUCUCAUAUCUUUAAUAAUCACAAGUAUGUCUUAUCCCCAUUAUACAAAUGAGAAGAAACGAGACAUAAGUCCAAAUCUAUUUUACUCCAAAUUCCAUGUGGUUUAUAUCUCCCACAAAGGUGAUUCCAAAAAUAUACCAUAACCCAUGUAAGUCAUUUGGCCAAGUUGGAACCAGUGCUGAGAGAGAAGAAACUGGGGAAGAAAAAAACAAAAGCAAAAAAAUGAAUCACAUAAUAAUACAGAAGGAUUUUAUAGGAAAAAUACAGAUUGCAGAAAAUUUUCCUUCAUCGUUAUGAACACUAGCCUAAUUUGUGUAAGUGCCAAGAAUACAAAAAGCCUUAGAACACCAUCCAUAUUUUAUGUUAGAGACAAUGCGUAUGAAAAUAAUAUAAUUGUUUAUUCAUUCAUAAUUUACACAAAAUAUAUAUAUUUAUGUAUUUAGGAGUUAAUAUACACUGGAAAGUUUGCUGGUUCAUAUAAAAUUCGUAUAAAAUAAAUAAGACAGGAUCUCUGCCCCAGGAACUCACAGUCAGGUAAAGGAGACACAAACAAACAAGUAAUUGAUUUACGGAAAGUGCUCAAAGAGCACAUACAAGAGAGCUCUUAGCUUGAGGGUCACCCCACACUGGAAAAUAAAUGUGUUAUCCAGCACACAGUGGAUGCUCAAUGAGGCUAUAGCUGUAAGUGUUGCCCAAUAGAUGUGAGUGAAAGCAAGAGUCUCUGGUUACUUUUUGGUUUCUGAGUUUUGGCCUAUUCAACUAGAAUGUUAAGGAGCUGAGAUCUGGGUAUAUUUAUAUGUAACUGCCCCAGGCGAUUCCUCUGAAGAGACAAAUUUGGGAAGCAUGAGUUAAGGCAGUGGUUUUAAACCACAGGUAUACAUUAGAAUCAUUUGGGGAGCUUAAAAAAGAGUGCUGCCUGGGCUCCAUUCCAGUCCCAUCGAACUAGGAUCUCUGGUGGUGGGGCUGAUGUAUUAGCAUUUUUAAAAUACUGCUCAGGUGAUUCCAAUGGUCAGCCGGGAAUUGGAAACCACUGAGUUAAGGGAUUGGCUCAGAAGGGAUAGCCCAAAAAGGAGGCUAAGAAAGAGCACAAUGAAAAGAACAAUGCUGGAGAUAGAAGGAGAUGCGAGAAAAAGUCACACUGCAGCAUCACAAGAGCCUCUCAGAAAGGAUCAAAGGUGUAGUCAACUCCCAAAUAUCAUGGAGACAUCAGCAUGGGUUGAUCUGAUUAUUAUAAGUUGGCUGGUGACCCUGAUGAGGGGAUUCAAAGGAUGGUGGGACAGAAGCCAGAUUAUAAUGCAUUGAGAACAGAGCGAAGGAGAGAAAGUGAACCGAGAGAGAGAGAGUACAGAUUAUUCUUUCAAGAAAUUUGCUUUGAAAGGAAGACAGGGAGGGGGAAAGUGGGAGAACCUGAGACCUAGAACCGUUAUUAGGAGAAAAGAAAGCUCUUCCUCUAAGAAAAGCCUUAAAGGUGGGUUCGGAUAUGGACAGGUUUAUACCUUUGGGGCAGGAGGGAAAUUUGAAUCCCACCAAAGGAACUAAUUUGUGCUGACUAAGCCAAAAAGCUAAGGAAAGGAGCAGAGAGGAAAGGUGGUGUUGAAGAACCAGGGGAUAAUUUAAAGAAGUUGAGGAGAGUGGGACUGAGUUAAGGGAGAGGUACAAAGGCCUGAUGAGUGCAUCAAGGGCAUUGCCUUGGCAGGAGAUGUUCAAAUGAACCAGUUACACAACUUUAUUCAGCAAAGUUCUGAAGUCUUGGUAUAGAAGCCAAUACUGGACAAAUUAAUUGACUUGAGACAGGUGAAUUAUGGGACAAGGGGAGCAGAAGAUUUAGUACUGUCAGCAUUCCUUUCCUCAUAAUAUUAGGUAGCGUACAAAUGAUAUCAGAAGCAGUCAUCCCAGGUCCAGUGCAAGAGGGAAUGGCUUCCUGGGAAAACAUUACAUGGGGGAAGGGGGAGUUAUUAAAUAUUAGGUCUAUGUAAGAGAAUGAAGAGUGUUAAGGGAAGUUGAAUGGCACUGGUGCUGAGACCACAAACACGUUGCUUAAGCUGGCGACAGUGACAAGUUUGGUUGGAGUGGAAGACUUAUGAGUGUAGAAGAGAAGAAAUAGACAAGGCCCAAUAGUGAAAGGUCUUGGAUGCUGAGAUAAGGAGAUAUAGACUGAAUCUUAUGAGGGUGAAGAGCUCUUGUUUGCUUUUGAUGGUGGAAAAUGUGUGCAAAGUUGCAUUUUCGGGAGGUUAAUUUGGCAGCCACCUAUCUGAUGCCUCUGGAUUUUAGACGUUGAUCUCCAAGUUUCUCUUAGUUUUCACUAUUGAGCUUUUCUAGAAGUCUACUCUCCCAUUCCUCACAAUCACUGCUAAUUAGCACCUUGUGCUCCUGUCUGCACCACUAUCAUCACAGAUUUUGCUCUUGCCUCAUUCCAAAACUACUGAAAUUUCCUCCUCCCUUGGCGUCCUUCCUGCUUCCAUUUCUACGUAUCAGUCUGUUCUUUUUCUUUCUUUUUUGAAGUCUCUUCCUUUUCCAUCCCCCUAAUGCAGGGAUCACUCUGGAGCCUUUGCUCUUGCUUGUCUUCUUCUGAGGACACCUCCCCUUUACAGCUCAACCACCUCUGUGUAGGUGACACCAAUCUAUACCUCCAGUCAUCACUGCUAUCCUGAGUUCCAGACCCAAAAUUUCAACUUCCCUUUAUAAGUUUUCACAUGGGGUCCCUCUUGUACAUCAGACUCAGUGUUUCUAAAACAGAAUCAUUACAUUUCCUGCAAAAGAGUUUCUUUCCGCGCACAUAAAACUUUUUUUUUUUUUUAAUUUUGUACUCCCAAUAACAUUAUAACCAGGGUUGUUGUAGUAGUGUCUUAAUUGGCUUGUUGGAUUCUGGUUUUUCAUUUCUUUGAUUUUAGUUAUGCACAUUGGCAGAUAAAUCUUCCUGAAAAGGAGUUUGAUUCGUUUUCUCCAACUCACCCCAUUCCUUAGCCUUCUUGGCCCCACAAGGAAGGUUUAUGGGCUCUCCACUGUUCAUAGAUUGAAGGCCAAAAGCUUAAACUUCUCAGCUUCUGCUGUCUGUCCCCAUCUAUCUCUCAAAUCAUUUGCUGUUUAGUGGCAAUAAUAUUUCUGUUGAUCUUUAGGGUUUUCUGUACCAUUUCUGUUUCCUAAAUUGAGUUAUAUUAAGCCCCCACUUUCAUUUUAUUUGCUUAUUUAUUUAAUAGGUAAGCAUUUCCCAACAACUCCUGUAUUCUGACAGGAGGUAAGGGCUUCAAACUUGAUAAUUACCUGCCCUACAUUUUUCCCCGUCUACCCCAAACACGAGGUGUUCCAUGUUCAACUCCCAAAUGAGAUUUUUGCCUGAAGGUGACUCUGACUUUGCUAAUAAAAGGUGUAUUUCUUUUUACUCAUAAUAAGAUUUUUAUAAGGAAAUAUUCUCUAUUAGUACUUUUUUGCCUGCUGUUUUUUCCUUUCUUCAAAAGAGGUUUUCUAGAUAAGUAAUCAGUGAGGCAGACGUCCAUCUGUGUUAGUACCUUCUUAUACAGAUUAUUGCACACAUAGCAAAUGGUAUAUUCUGGGACCUCUCCUGGCCCAUUAGCCUUUCUGGUUGCAUAAGAGUUCAAUCUCUACUUCCUUAAGUGGGAAAGGACUUCUUUAUAUGCACUGCCAUUUGAUUCUCAAGGUCUUGUUCUUUAGCUAGAAUUUUAAAACUGGCUCAUGCUUCCGUGUUACGUGAAGGAAUGGCUAAGGAUGUACCCAUGAAGUUUUUGUACUGCAGGGUCCAGAGAGAAAGGAAGCUCUCCAAUCGGAGCCCUCCUGGUUCUGGAUGCCUUUCUUUAUACUAAGGCUGCUUUCCUCCAGGAGUGUCAUACUUUAUUCAGUUCCCUCAGCUGCUUUUCCAAUCAUCUGAGCUUUAAUACACACAAUUUCCACUGUUUGUUCUUCCUGUAAAAUAUAGCUUCAACAAUUGCUUGAGUUUUGCAACUUAAAUAUUUAUUUAAGCCUAUUCUUUCUGCCAAAUUUUAAACGUUGUUUUCAUCAUCACCGUUUCUAGAAGUCAUAAGUUGCUUCUCGAGGAUUUAAAAAAAAUAAGAACAUGAGAAAUAUGGACUAAUUUGCAGAAUACUUUUUGGCAUUGUAACGUCUUUUGCAUAAAUAGUUUUUCCUCUCUAACAUGAUUAUAAGCUUCACGUGGGUAAUAAUCAAUCAUAUUGUCUAGCCCUUUGUAUCCAAUACCAGCAUCUAAUAGGGCCAUGUAGAUAGUAAACAGUCAGGAAAUAUAUGUUGACUUUUUGGCUCAGGAACAAAAUCUACCAGUGUUGAAAAGGGACUUUUCGUAACCAGCAACUUCAAAUCAAUCGUGCUAAUUUACUGAACUUAGAAUUGAACCAAGCCUCAAUUUUUAAAAAUAGCUUUUUAGAACAAACCUUUGUUUGUUUCUCUCCACCUCUCCCAAUAUGUAAGGAAUUCUGUGGGUUAUCUAGAUCUUUAUGUGUUAAUAGGGAUGAAGUAUUAACUUGUCCCACUUAUUAUUAAUGAUUUCAUCUAGUGCCAUACAGCAAGGAAAUCAAGAAUGGUCUUGUUUCUUGAAUUUAUAAUAAAUGGAUUAAAACAAUUCUAUUCGCACAUCUAUAAGUUUUGGAGUUAGACUAAAGCUGUAGGCUCCUUGGGGGUGUGUGUUUUAAAUUUUUUAAUUGGGAACUCACUCAAAACAACUUACCCUUUUCUAGUAAAUAAAAGUGUAAUAACGGAUCCUAGAAGGAAAAAUUAGAAACUUCUUUAGAAUGUUGUGUUUGAAUAUGCACUUGAACUUUUAGGUGAAUAACUUAGGCAGUAUUAUGGCAAAUCCCUUGAAAAGUCCACCUGGAAUCUAUGUCAAAUAAUUGUUAGAAAAGAAAAAGUAUAUCAAUAGACAUGAUUCUGCAGAAUCUGAAGAUGGUUUUAAAAAGGCAAAAGAAAAAAAAAGCUUCUGGAUGUGGAUUCAUUUAAAAAAUAUUUUACACCAAAAUUUUACUUUAAUUUAAAUUUGAACUCAAUAUGGGAAAGUAUUGGUUGCAAGCAAAUCAUAAAUCAUGAAUAUUUUAAAGACUUUGCUAACCCUGUGCUUGCUGCCAUGAAGUACAUAUGAAAAAUAGAAAAAGAAAAAGAAAUCUUUGUUCUCAUAGUUUAUUCUCGUUAGUGAAAAAAAUUAAAAGGAGGAAAAGUUAAAUAAUAAAAGACUGAAAAAUCCCCUUCAGAUUAAAAACGGAAGAGAGAGCACAGGGCAAUAUUUAGUCACAAACAUAUUCUUUGGUCUAGCCCUGUGUUUAAGGGUGUGUUCUCCCCUCCUUCUCUCCCAAAGCGUACCUGAGCCUCCUCUGCAUGUCAGGCCCUGUGCUGGGUAUAGGGUUACAGAGAAGAAUGAGGCACAAUUUCUGCCCUACAAUGAGGGGCAUAAUUGGAAUCUUCAGGAAUCAUCAUUUGACAGCCCAAACAUCAGAGAGCUGGGGGAGGGGUGUCUCUGUUACAUCCAUAAUCUUCGGGUUCUUAGAAGGCUUUUAGCCCCACCCAUGGUGUCUCCCAGUCAUAAGAUUCAUUAAGUAGGGAUCGUAGCCUGCCCUAUACAACUAUACUAGGACAUCUUCAAGGAACCCAGUUGAUUCUUCUAAUCCAGUCUGAUCUUCAGAAUGGGGAGAAGAUCUAAACUAGGUUAACUAGAAGGCAAUAGGGAACCUAUAAUCAUUACUAAAUAAGACUAAGAGGUGAAACUAGGACUCAAACUCCAGGCUAUGUUGUCUCCAAAUUAUUUUCGUUAGAUUCUGACAUAUUCUGAGCUUCAUCGAUCACCAACAGUUGUUGCUCCUGAAAAUCUGAAGAACGAUGAGGAUAAGCAGAGGUUUAGAGUUAGGUCAUAGAAAGUCUUCUGUGGAUAAGAAAUGUAUGUCUUAAGGGAAAUAAGGGUACUUUCUAAACUUACCAUGACCUGUAAGUAAAGAAAUCGUGUAGUCCCUGGAACAUAAUGUGAUCAAUAAAAAUUAUUGUUAAGGGAAAGAUCUGUGUCAAAGUGAUGUAUAGCUUUCCGAGGACAGCUAUGGAGACUGUUAUCAAAGAUACUCCCAUGCAGUGUCUGUAGCUCAAUCUGAGGAGGAUGUUAGGUGUCUCCUUAUUCCCACAAAUAGGUCAGAGUUUGUAUAUGAGAAGGAUGGCAAUAGAUUAUUGUGUUUCCAUUUUCUGACUUUUAUUUCAGGAAUGGUUUUGUCUGGCUGCCUAGCUUCUCUUGGUCCUUCUGGCUCUGGUAUUAACUCCAUGAAACAGGCAUCUGGGGACUCUGCUUCUCUCUUACCUUAGUAGAAAGAUUUACUAGGUUUUCUCAUUAAGGGGGUUGUGAUGUCCCAGGGAGGCUAAAAGUCUUAGCAUUUUUCCCUCAUUUAAAGUGUUUUUAACUCUCUCAUCUGAUCCAGAUCUUUAGACCGUGUCUAUGGUAAGUUGGGCAUGGAUACUGGACUCUAGGAUAUUUCCAUUCUGCUAAUUCUAGUUUCUGAAAUCUUAUAGGAUAGAUGAAAUUAUGUGAUGCUUUCUGAGCGUCUCCUGAGAGAAACUCUUGGGCUCCAUCAGAGCCUAUGCUAAAAUUAUUAAGAACUCAGUGCACAUGAUGUCAGCCUGGUUCAGUGCCCAAACAUGGAGCUCAUAUCAAAGACUGUUUGAAAACAUAAGUAACCUUAGUGCUGGUGACUUUAAAUUCUGAGGAUGCCUCUGAGGAGUGUGGAGAGUCUGGUUGGACCUGGCAGUUUGUUUAUUCCUUAUGAAAACAUUAGGUGUCAGGGCAAUGGCUCAAAGGAAAUGACUCUCACACAUUCCUUUAAGUAGGGAGAAGAGAGGUAUGCUGGUUCCUUCUAUACCAUAUUAGGAAUAUGCCUAAGGGUCCCAUGGAGGCAGAAAGGGGUCAUACAAAACACUGAGGAGUCUCAGCUCAGACAGGGUAUUAAUUUGAGGGAAGAAAAAGUUGGGAGAAAAACAAACCUUCCAGCAAUCGGGAAAGACUUGGGGAAAAAAGGAAGGGGCACUUUACCUUGGAAUCUGAGACUCAGCAGCCAGGUGGGAAAGAGGAUUGGCAGGAAAGAGGCAGGAUUUGAGGGCGGGGAUGUGGAUAAGUAAGCAUUCUUUACAGAUCCAAAUCUGGGAGAUGACCUUUUUCUAUUACUCUGGAGUGUUUGUCCCCAGUGCACCUUUAGUAAAUUGUGUUAAUUCUGGAUUUGUGAGGUGGGGCUUAAAAAGCUAUUAAGUUCAGGUGGAACAUCUAAGAAAACAUCUAUUUGAUUUGAAGUUCUGUAAUUCAAGUAAUUCAGCAUGUUCGUUCAGUUGGAAACAAAAAUAGGGAAUAUUUUCUAGGUUCUUAUGUCUUCCUUAUAUCUUUCCAGUUCUAUUUGUCUAUGUUUUUAUUUUCAUCCCAACUAUUUGGCUUUAUUUGCAUUUUACUAUUAUAAAUGACCUCAAGAAAUCUUAGGAAGUGGGAGGUAAAUAUAAUAAAAUUCAUAAGAGUUCUUCUUCUUUGUGUGCUGGUAAGUUGUGCGGUGCUGUAACUACCCUGAAAGUUAAACAGAUUACUUUGAGGAAACAAAACUAAGAUUAUACUGCAAUCAUUUAGCUAACGUUCUGGCUGCUCAGGCAAAAUCUUAGUCACUCUCGCCAUCUUCUGUUUCUUCACACCUUGCAUCCAAUCCAGCAGCAAAGCCUGAGACUUUAACCCCCAAAUCGCUCUCAAAUCAAACUUUUCUCACCACCUCCAUUAAAACCCUCCUUGGCCAAUCCUUGAAAGGAAGCUUGGGUUGCAAUUGUCUCCUAAUGCUUCUAACUUGUCUUCCUCCUUCUAUCCUGACUCCCUAUUCUCAAUCCAGCAGCCGAACGGUCCUUUGAAAACCUAUCAUUUUCUCCUGUUUUUUCAUCUUAUUUGUAAUAAAAACCAAAGUCCUUAUUAUGAUCUGCAAAGCUAAGGUUGUAACUUCAGCUUCCUCUGAGCUAACCAGUUACUCUUCCCCAACUCAACCCUUCUGCUCCUUACUACUCAUUAAAUAUGACAGCACUCAACUGCCUCCGAGCUUUACUAGUUCUCAAUUUUCCCUAAAUACCUGCAUGGCUUGGUCCUUUACCUCCUUCAGUUCUGUGCCAAAUAGAAUUUUCACAAUGCUUUCCAUGAUUAUAUGUUAUAACCACACUCCCCUCCCCAUCCUGCCCCCAAAUCACUAAGCCUACUUUGCAAUUCUCCAUAGCGCUUAUCAGUGCUUCACCACACUUAUUUGUUAGUCUCCCCAGUUAAGAAUGUUUGUUAAGACCUUUUUCACUAGUUUAUCCCCAGAGCCUAGAUCAGUGCCUGACCCAAUGUAUGUUUCAACAAACAUUUAUUGGCUAAACAUUGAAUAAGGUAAUAAUCAGGGUUCCUCUUCUACCUAGGUGAAGUAGAUAGCACUAGCCCAUACCCUUGGGAAGCUGAAAAGUCAUGUUUACUUCUCACUUCUUGUUUACUCACCUGUUUUCCCCAAAUCAUAUUAACAUGAGUUUGCAUUCCACAAUUAAAAGGAAGAAUUAAAUUAUACUAGUUAGUUAUGCUUGCUCUUCAGGGAGAGGCCUCUCAAUGGAUAGCCAUGGACAUCCUUGCAGGUUGCAAGCUGCACACAAAUGUUAGCUGCGGGGUCAUAAGUGAAAUCCUGCCUGAGUUAACUCGAUUAGUUCUGUGCCUGACCUGGGGUUGCAUUGCACUGGAGGUCAUUCCAGAGGGUUUUUCUACUUCUCACAAAGGCAGGAAAUGUGAUGGGGGCAGAAGACGUAUGAGAGAAAGGAGGACAGGCUAGACAUUAGGGGUUAGGUGUGUGAGGAAGACUUACUUUGAACCAAGAAGGCUUGUAUUCUCUUUGAAGUUGCUUGCUUCUUUUAUUUAUGUUUUAUGUACCUGCAUUAUCUAUUUUUAAGGAAGGAAAAAAGGUAUAUGUGACAUCAUCAACACAUUGACAUAAUUUACCCUGAAAUAUAAUAGAUGGAUUGAUAGCAGAGCCUUCCUUAAGAAUGAGUCUGCUGGAUAUCUUCCAUUUGCCCUGCAGAUCUAUUUUCUACCCGCUGCACCCUGUUCUGUGCCCUGUGUGGUUGGUCUACAUGAACCACAUCAAUCAGCUUCCUUUCUUCUGGUAUCCAGUUGGGUUCAUCCGAUGUGGAACCUCAGAAAGAUAUUAGAAGGUCUGUCCAUGCAGCCCUGCUCCUGGGGGGAGAGGGAAAUGGUGGGAAUGAAGAAAGAGUCAGCUGAUGAAGAACUACUUCUUCUGAAAUCAACAUUCAGAAAGGUCAAUCACUUGACGUGGCUUCUUACUGGAAACAUCAGCAGUGGAUUUCGUACACUUAGGGGCUGUGGUGAACAAAACAACACAAGAUUAAAUCAAGGGCAAGAGAAAAUGAUGCAAUCAAGAGAUGCAGAGGGGCCGGCUCCGUGGCCUAGUGGUUAAGUUCGCGCCCUCUGCUGCGGCGGCCCAGGGUUCGGAUCCUGGGCGCAGACAUGGCACCGCUCGUCAGGCCACGUUGAGGCACCAUCCCACAUCCCACAACUAGAAGCACGUGCAACUAGGAUAUACAACUGUGUACGGGGGAGGUGAUUUGGGGAGAUAAAGCAGAAAAAAAAAAAAAAAGAUUGGCAACAGUUGUUAGCCCAGGUGCCAAGCUUUGAAAAAAAAUUAAAAAAAAAAAAAAAGGAAGAUUGGCAACAGUUGUUAGUCCAGGUGCCAAUCUUUAAAAAAAAAGAGAUGCAGGAAAACAUAAGAUGUAUGAGGCUGCUGCCAGAGUAACACGGCAUACUGUUUUAUAGCAAGCUGUUUUUUUAAUAAGUAGAAAGAGUACCAUCUAAAAUAAUGAUAAAAGUAUAGUAUAGUAAGUAUAUAAACCAAUAACAUAGUUGUUCAUUAUCAUUAUCAAGUAUUACGUACUGCACACAAUUGUAUUGCUAUACUUUUAUAUGACUGGCAGCCCAUAGGUUUGUUUACACUAGCUCCACCACAAGCAUGUGAGUACUGUAUUGUGCUAUGACAUUACAAUGGCUACCACAUCAGUAGGCAAUAGGAAUUUUUCAGCUCCACUAUAACCUUAUGGGACCACUACUGCAUAUGCAGUCCGUCAUCGACAGAAAUGGUGUUACGUGCUGCAUGACUGUAUAAUCAACUGACCUUUGAAAAAAAAGAGCAAAGGCAAUACAAUGAAGAAAAGAUAAUCUUUUCAAUAAGUCGUGCCAGAAGAACUGGAAAUCCACAUGCAAAAAAAUGAAUGUGGACACCCACUUACACCCUUCACAAAAAUUAACCAAAAUGAAUUAGGUCUAAAUGUAAAAUGCAAAACUAAAAACACUCCUAGAAGAUAAUAUGGUAAAAAACCUAGGUGAUCUGGACAAUUGGGUUUGGUGAUGACUUUUUAGAUACAACACCAAAGGCAGGAUCCCAUGAAAGAAACAAAUUAAAAUUAAAAUCAUUACAAUUAAAAACUUCUGCUCUGCAAAAGACACUGUCAACAGGACAAAAAGACAAGCCACACACUGGGAGAAAAUAUUUCCAAAAGACAUACCUGAUAAAAUACAGUUAUACAAAAUAUCCAAAGAACUCGUAAGACUCAACAAUAAGAAAACAAGCAGCUCAUUAAAAGUGGGCAAAAGAUCUGAACAUACACCUCACCAAAGAAGAUAUACAGAUGGCAAAUAAGCAAAUGAAAAGAUGCUUAAUAUCAUAUAUCAGUAAGGAACUGCACAUUGAAACAACAAAGAGAUACUACUACAGACCUGUUAGAAUGGUGAAAAUCCAAAAUGCUGACACCACCAAAUGAUGGCAUGGAUGGAGAGCAACAGGAAGACUCAUUCAUUGCUGAUGGGAAUGCAAAGCGGUACGUUUAAUUUGGAAGACAGUUUGGCAGUUUCUUAGAAAACUAAACAUACUUUCAUCAUAUGACCCAGCAAUGGUGUUCCUUGGUAUUUACCCAAAGGAGUUGAAAACUUAUAUCCACAGAAAAACCUGCACAUGAAUGUUUAAAGCAGCUUUAUUCAUAAUUGCAAAACUUGGAAGCAACUAAGACCUGCAGUGGGUGAAUGGAUAAACAGUGGUACUUCCAGAUAAUGGAACAUUGUUCGGCACUAAAAAGAAAUGAGCUAGCAAGCCAAGAAAAGACAUGAAAGAACGUUAAAUGCAUAUUACUAAAGUGAAAGAAGCUCAUCUCAAAAGGCUACUCAUUACACGGUUCCAACUAUAUGACAUUCUGGAAAAGGCAAAUCUAUGGAGACAGUUAUGGAUCAGUGGUUGCCAGGAGUUGAGCAGAGGAGGAAUGAGGAGAAGGAGCAGAGAGGAAUUUUAUUAUUCUCCCAGGAAUCAGAAAUAGGAAUUUCACUAUUCACAGAAUAGUGAAACUAUUCUGUAUGAUACAAUAAUGGUGGAUAAAUUUCAGCAUACAUUUGUGAAAACUCAUAGAAUGUACAACGCAAAAGUGAACCCUAAUAUCACAAAAAGGACGUUGGAUGAUAAUGAGGGAUCAAUGUAAUUUCACCCAAGGCAACAAAGGUACCAUCUUGGUUUGGGAUAUUGAUAGUUGGGGAGGCUGUGUGUAUGUGUGUGUGUGUGUGUGUGUAAUCAGGGGGUAUACGGGAACUCCCUACUAUCCUCUCAAUUUUGCUUUGAAUUUGAAAUUGC